rnacentral:lncRNA from 1 species
UUGGAUUGUCAACUGAAAACUCGCUGAAACUGAAACAGAGAACUGACAACUGGCGCUGCCAGAAAACUGGAACACUGUAGCUGCCGGAAAAAUUCAAAGUUGUCGGAAUUGAAAAAUAAAAAUAUGGAUAGGCUCGGAAUUCAAGGUUGAGCAAACUGUCCUGAAGAAAUUUUGGCCGGAAAGUACUGUUGCUGCCGGAAAAGUCAAUAAAGUCGCCGGAAAAAAAAUUUGAAUGUUGUCGGAAUCGAACGAAAAAAGGAUGGGUAGGGUCGGAAUUGAAGGGCGAGCAAACUAUCCUGAAGGAGUCACCGG